rnacentral:rRNA from 1 species
GCGAGUGAACCGGGAAGAGCUCAAAUUUGUAAUCUGGCGUCCUUCGGGCGUCCGAGUUGUAAUCUAUAGAGGCGUUUUCCGCGCCGGACCGCGUCCAAGUCCCCUGGAACGGGGUAUCAAAGAGGGUGACAAUCCCGUGCUUGACGUGACGACCGGUGCUCUGUGAUACGUCCUCAACGAGUCGAGUUGUUUGGGAAUGCAGCUCUAAAUGGGUGGUAAAUUCCAUCUAAGGCUAAAUAUUGGCGAGAGACCGAUAGCGAACAAGUACCGUGAGGGAAAGAUGAAAAGCACUUUGGAAAGAGAGUUAAACAGCACGUGAAAUUGUUGAAAGGGAAACGAUUGAAGUCAGUCGUGCGUAAGGUAUUCAGCCGUCUCUGGCGGUGUACUUGCCUUGCGCGGGUCAACAUCAGUUCUGGCCGACGGAAAAGAGUGAGAGGAAGGUGGCACCCCCGGGUGUGUUAUAGCCUCUUGCUGCAUACGUCGGCUGGGACUGAGGAAUGCAGCUCGCCUCACGGCCGGGAUUUAUCCACGUUCGAGCUUAGGAUGUUGACAUAAUGGCUUUAAACGACCC